rnacentral:rRNA from 1 species
UGGGGAAUAUUGCACAAUGGGCGAAAGCCUGAUGCAGCAACGCCGCGUGAGGGACGACGGCCUUCGGGUUGUAAACCUCUUUAGCAAGGAAGAAGCGAAAGUGACGGUACUUGCAGAAAAAGCGCCGGCUAACUACGUGCCAGCAGCCGCGGUAAUACGUAGGGCGCAAGCGUUAUCCGGAAUUAUUGGGCGCAAAGAGCUCGUAGGCGGUUUGUCGCGUCUGCUGUGAAAACCCGAGGCUCAACCUCGGGCCUGCAGUGGGUACGGGCAGACUAGAGUGCGGUAGGGGAGAUUGGAACUCCUGGUGUAGCGGUGGAAUGCGCAGAUAUCAGGAAGAACACCGAUGGCGAAGGCAGAUCUCUGGGCCGUAACUGACGCUGAGGAGCGAAACGGGUGGGGAGCAAACAGGCUUAGAUACCCUGGUAGUCCACCCGUAAACGUUGGGAACUAGUUGUGGGGUCCAUUCCACGGAUUCCGUGGACGCAGCUAACGCAUUAAGUUCCCCGCCUGGGGAGUACGGCCGCAAGGCUAAAACUGCAAAUGAAUUGACGGGGUCAUAGCUGUUUCCU